rnacentral:rRNA from 1 species
CAAUAGCGUAUAUUAAUGUUGUUGCAGUUAAAAAGCUCGUAGUUGGAUUUCGGGAUGACAUCACUUGCCGGGCAAUGUCUGAGUGAGUUGAGUCAUUCUUCCUUCUGGAGGCCUAUUCUGUACUUAACUGUGCGGGGUAGGAAUUCAGGACUUCUACUUUGAAAAAAUCAGAGUGUUCAAAGCAGGCGUUUGCUUGAAUACAUUAGCAUGGAAUAAUGGAAUAGGACUUUGGUCUUAUUUUGUUGGUUUCUAGGACCGAAGUAAUGAUUAAUAGGGAUAGUUGGGGGCAUUCAUAUUUAAUUGUCAGAGGUGAAAUUCUUGGAUUUAUGAAAGAUGAACUUCUGCGAAAGCAUUUGCCAAGGAUGUUUUCAUUAA